CCUACGGGGGGCUGCAGUGGGGAAUAUUGGACAAUGGGCGAAAGCCUGAUCCAGCCAUGCCGCGUGUGUGAAGAAGGCCUUCGGGUUGUAAAGCACUUUCAGUGGGGAAGAAAGCCUUGGGGCUAAUACCCUCGAGGAAGGACAUCACCCACAGAAGAAGCACCGGCUAACUCCGUGCCAGCAGCCGCGGUAAUACGGAGGGUGCGAGCGUUAAUCGGAAUUACUGGGCGUAAAGCGCGCGUAGGCGGUCUGAUAAGCCGGUUGUGAAAGCCCCGGGCUCAACCUGGGAACGGCAUCCGGAACUGUCAGGCUAGAGUGCAGGAGAGGAAGGUAGAAUUCCCGGGGUAGCGGUGAAAUGCGUAGAGAUCGGGAGGAAUACCAGUGGCGAAGGCGGCCUUCUGGACUGACACUGACGCUGAGGUGCGAAAGCGUGGGUAGCAAACAGGAUUAGAUACCCUGGUAGUC
rnacentral:rRNA from 1 species